UUUUUUUUUUUUUUUUUUUUGGCUAAGGCAUUCUUUCAAAGCUUCUGCUUUCAAAACGCACCAAGUGUGUGCUUAAAAUCUUGAGAGUCCUUCCAAAAUGUCAAUCCUUGGGAGGCUCGCCGCCACGGCAGGCUUUUUAAGUGUGUGGCAGUAACUGGGCGUAACAUGUGACUGACACGACAAGGCUCUCUGUGAGUGUUAAGGUUGAAUGGGAAAGUCAAGAUGACAGUAUAGAACCAAGUCAUGGUUGGCUGGAAAGCAGGCUUGAUAUUACCUCGCUGCACCUUUGAAUCAGUUAAGAUCGGAUUCUGGCAAACAACAGUGUAAAGAAACAAAUGCUCAGCUAAUUAGAAUGCAAAGGGAUGAGGGGAUGAGGUGACAUCGGAUGGUCACAGGUUGGUUAGCACACAAGCUAAGGACUAACCUUUCUGACUUCCCCUUCUACCUUCCCAUCUGUUAGCUCUGUCCUCCGGCUUGUCUCUUCAUGGCCACUAGUUCAUUUUGUGUGUCUAGCAGUUGUGCUUAGAUACUAGACUGUCCAAAAGAAUAAAAGACAUCUAACUCCACCCAAAGGCCCCAGAAGUAAACACCCUCUGUUCCCUUUGCCUGGCGUUGCUUGGAUACUCAUUUCUGGGUCACACAGUGGUGGGGUAAUUUGAUUUCCAUCAGAGCCUGAACUCUUAGACUUAUCACUAAGUCACUUAGUGGAGGGAAGAAUUUCCCAAUGGAAAACAUGGAAGGAGUGUAAAUGGGUCUGAGCUUGGCAAGUGACCACUGCUGAGGCUUUUCUUUGCUCACAGUUAUUGGUGAUAUGGGAGAACAUGAACAGAUUCAGUUACCAGAGGAAUGAGGAGGUCCUUUGCAUCUCAGGUGUUUCGGUGUUCUCAGCGUUACAGUGGUCCACCCACCUUUGAGAUUAUGCUGUCAGCCCAGGGAAGGCUGCUUUGUUUUGUAUCACAGCAAAUAUCUUCCCAUUUAUCUCCUCUCAGAUUUCCAUUUAGCUAAUAAAAGGAAUCAUUUGUUAGCAGAUAAAUAUUGAAACUUCUGAGCUUUCCUGCUUUAAAGCAUAGUUCAAGUUUAUAAGUGUUGAGCGGUAAUCCCGAGAUAUCAGCAAUGUCUAGGCUGCAGAAAGUGAUUGGAUUCUGUCUUCUGUAUGAGCCCAUGGUCCAUCAUUGCAGUAAAGUACCCGAGUUAACAGGUUUCAUGGAGGAAAAUUUUGUUUCAUGCAAUGACCAACUGAUUAUUUUGUAACUCUGGUAUCUGUGGUGAAGACAGAGCCAGAGCAGGGUAGUUACCUCUUGGUAAGAAAGAAGCAGAGAUUGGAUGGAGGGCAAGUGGGGAGGGGGGCUGAGGAGUGCUGUGAUCCACUUUCUCCCAGGAGUGCCACCAGAUGGAGAACAACCCUUGGAGACAGACCUGCAGGGGCAUUUCAGGGCCAAUGGAAAUCCUGUAGGGGCUCCUUCUUCACUCUGAGAUAAUUGCCUGGUCUCUCUUACAAAACAAGAUCUGCUUGUUAUAAAUUCCAUCAAAUGGCCAUGAGUCUCCCUUCCUAAUGUUUAAUAAGUUGCCCCCAACUUUGGAUGUUAACUGUUACCUUGUGUCUUUGACUUUUUCUGCCAUUUUCUGCUGAUUCCUCGAGUUUUGUCCUCCCAGUUCUCCAGGACACAGAGGCUGGACCCUGGAGAGUGUCUUUGACCAUUACCACCUUGUGCUCUGAGCUGCCAGCUGCUGCGGAUUGUCUCGGGAAUUGUCUUAUUCACCCCCAAGCUGCUGCUAUUUCUCACUGAAGUCAUUUUAGAUUCUCAGAGAUCGGCAGACUCUCUUCCCUGAAUUUGGCUUUUCAACAGUCUGGCAUUUGAAAUAGGGUUUCUGUUUGGCUAUUUUUUGCUUUUAUUAAAUAUUCCGAGAGGUAACCUUUCAGUAACCUAUAUUUGCUUCUUUGUACACUAGAAUUACGUGCUGCACAUGAAACCUAAGGAGGCUAAAAUGGUAGUAACCAGCUACGGAGUACAGAGAAAGCAUUAAUUAAAGUGUCUCACAGCUAAAUCUUCUCUAUUAAGGAGAUAAAUUAGAACUGUUGGAAUUUACAGAGGCCAAUUUUGAGACGGCAAAAUAAAUCCUAUUUUUAAUCGUACCCUGAAAGUAGGUUGACGUAAUUGUAGGCAAAUGUCAGUAAAUUCUGGGAAACCAGUUAUUUAUAUAAACGGUUAUUACAUGGGGUGCAAAUCCAGGCCUUGUUGUUAUUCCUUAAAGUCACUGUGUGCUUUUCUUUUUAUUCCUGUGAUUCCAAUCCUAAAUCCAUGUACCAAGUGCAUGAAGGGGCCACACCUUCAGGACUGCUGCUGACUCUGUAUGCAAUGGUCUCUUGACCAAUCUCUCACUUCACUGACUUUUCUCCAUUCAAAAGUCCAAAAUUUGGGCCAGCAAGAUUUUUUAAUAGCUAAAAACUCUUAGUACUAAGACUGACAGCUUGAGUUCAAAUCCUGGGACCCACUUGGUAGAAAGAGACAACCAAUUCCCAAGAGUCACCAUCCAGUUCCCACAAAACAUGCUAUAGCACACCCCACCCCUACCACACCACGUCACACACACACACACACACACACACACACACACACACACACACAUGUACAGACAUUAAGAUGUUCUUGCAGCUGGGCAGUGGUGGCGCAUGCCUUUAAUCCCAGCACUUGGAGACAGAGACAGGUGGAUUUCUGAAUUCAAGGCCAGCCUGGUCUACAAAGUGUGUUCCAGGACAGCCAGGGCUAUACAGAGAAACCUGUCUCGAAAAAAACCAAAAGACCAAAAACAAACAAACAAACAAACAA
rnacentral:lncRNA from 1 species